rnacentral:rRNA from 1 species
UACGGAGGGUGCAAGCGUUAUCCGGAUUCACUGGGUUUAAAGGGUGCGUAGGUGGGCAGGUAAGUCAGUGGUGAAAUCUCCGGGCUUAACCCGGAAACUGCCGUUGAUACUAUCUGUCUUGAAUAUAGUGGAGGUGAGCGGAAUAUGUCAUGUAGCGGUGAAAUGCUUAGAUAUGACAUAGAACACCAAUUGCGAAGGCAGCUCACUACACAAUCAUUGACGCUGAGGCACGAAAGCGUGGGGAUCAAACAGG